GAUGAACGCUGGCGGCGUGCCUAAUACAUGCAAGUCGAGCGAAUGGAUUGAGAGCUUGCUCUUAUGAAGUUAGCGGCGGUCGGGUGAGUAACACGUGGGUAACCUGCCCAUAAGACUGGGAUAACUCCGGGAAACCGGGGCUAAUACCGGACAACAUUUUGAACCGCAUGGUUCGAAAUUGAAAGGCGGCUUCGGCUGUCACUUAUGGAUGGACCCGCGUCGCAUUAGCUAGUUGGUGAGGUAACGGCUCACCAAGGCAACGAUGCGUAGCCGACCUGAGAGGGUGAUCGGCCACACUGGGACUGAGACACGGCCCAGGCUCCUACGGGAGGCAGCAGUAGGGAAUCUUCCGCAAUGGACAAAAGUCUGACGGAGCAACGCCGCGUGAGUGAUGAAGGCUUUCGGGUCGUAAAACUCUGUUGUUAGGGAAGAACAAGUACUAGUUGAAUAAGCUGGCACCUUGACGGUACCUAACCAGAAAGCCACGGCUAACUACGUGCCAGCAGCCGCCGUAA
rnacentral:rRNA from 1 species